AGCACACACUUUUCUACAAGAAUAGUGUCAGUGGCAGGCUUGGAUUGACUUCUUCUACUGCCUGACUUGGAGAGUGAAGCCUUUUGAGAGAGAUAAGCAUGCAACCUGGGCUUUGCAACAUGACAAACUGACAGACCUCUCUAUUCAUCACCAAAGCGGCACCACUCUAAUACAUAGGUUCUGUAGUACAAGGUAAUUAAGGCAUGCAUUAUUGAUGUGUCCCUGCAAGAGAAGCAGCAGCAAAAACAUGUCUUCGUCAUCAGAAUCAAUCUGAAUAUGAUGGCAAAUAUGGAUACUAGUUUUACCUAGGAUCUUAAGAGACCAGCACUCUUUUAAUUAACUGUCUGAUGUAGUUCUUUUUCCCAUUCAUUAAAGGCUUCUCUGAUUUCCUACCAACAUUUCUGUAUUCACUUUUCUCAUCAACCUCUCUCCAAAUACACUGUUUUUCAUUUCCUUUCCCAGAAUUAUCCCUGUAUUUCCUCUGUUCAUUUAAACUUAGCUCUGUUCAAUGUUUCUUCUCUUUUUCUUUAUCUGUCCUUCUCCUAUGAAGUCUUGAUUGCUGUUUCCUCAAAACUAUGCCCUCCCAUUGCCAAGUGCUACAACCUAGCUAUUUCCACCUUGUGAAGCAUUUGGAAGUUAAGUUGUCCUUCAUUUGAGGAUGUCCAGCUGUGAACACUUUCUUUGCUUUCUCAAGCACUUCCAAACUACCUAGAAGACUCUGUUGGGCUCACAGAUCAUUGCAACACACAACCUAUUCUAUGACUAACCGUGGGAACCAAAAAAAAGGAGUUAGCUAAACAUGAUGAAUGAUGUAUCUUUGGGGGCCAUCCUUGUGUGUCCUUGAUGCAGUAAGAUUGAGGGUAGAAACACAGUAAAUUGGUAUUCUCACCUUGUGUAACAUUUGCAUGGAAGUGAGAUAACUUAGAACAAAAAACUGAAAGAGGUCUGUGUUACAAUAGCUAACAUCUCUCUAUUACCUCCCUGUUAUCCAAUAAGAAUGUUUGGAACAAUAUUUUAUCUGAUCACUGUGUUCUAUAACUUGCAGAACUACCACACCUUACAGAAUGGCAUACAAGAGACUGUGGAUACAGCAAUAAAUUACUUUCGGGCUUUGGGGCUUUUUGCCCUUGAC